GCCAUUACUCAGUUGUCGGAUGGCAGAUGGCGCUAUGGCACGAAUACGAUUUUUAAGUCACGUGUUCACCCUCCUGUUGAUUUUGAACAUCUGCAUGUCUAUGCAUUAGUAUUCAGUGGUAUCUCCCACCUGGCCGCCGUUUUAACUCUUAUGCCAGCACCUCCCCAGUUAAACCACUUGCAUUAUUCGAUGGCUGGUCGCAUGUUCAAAUGACCGUGGCUCUCCUGCAUUUGAUGAUGACUGCACCUUCUGUCUCUACCGGCACGUGGAUCUUCAGAGUGAAGGAUGUGUAGAUGCUCGAACAGAUGUGCAACCGUGGGGUUGAGGAGCACGGCGGAGCUCGAGGGUUCCUGGUGUGGACGACGGGGUGAAGCCUCUCUGGCCAAUGGGCUUGGGACCGCGUGUGCUGGGUGCUGCCCGGCUCGCUCUCACAAGCAGACCGACUGAAAGCUGCCCAAUGCCUUGUCAUUCAUGACACGCCAUCCCCUCCCUGCUUGGGAAGCCAGUGAACAAUGACAGAGGCACCAGACAGAAGGCCAUAAAAAAGAAGCUUUAGAGAAACGUGAGCAUUUGUAGAUGUUGCCAGCAUUUCUUGCCAGCCAGUCCAAGCCCAUGAAGUAAAAGCUACAGCAAAUAGCCUGUCACAUACACUCCAGUUCGGCCAUGACACUGUGCUACGCCUCAGCUGCCCGGCCGGACAGAGUAGGAGCCAGAAACACACAGCUCCUGCCUCAGGCUGUCACUGAGGUGAUUCUGUGCUGGUAAGCGCCAUGCUUCAUUCCAAAGCCACGCUUCGUCCCAGAGCUGCGCUUCGUC